GGGUUUCCAUGUCUACAAUUCCUUCCACAGUGAUGUCAGCACCUUGGUGAGCACCCUGAGGUGGUUAUCGGGAUGGGGUCAGAUGAUCCCUAAUUACACCUGCCAGGCACAGAACAAGAAUGUGGCUGUCACUGCAGGAACCACACCAGCAUUCUCUGCCCACAUUGGGACACUGUUGGAGCUCUACAAAAUACCACAGAGAACUCAAUAUGGAACACUUUUUCUCUUUUGAUUCAGACAACCUAUGGAGAUUUUGAUCCUGUACUGAAAGGAACUGAAUGUGGAAAUUUUUGGAGUGUCCAUUCAAUGCCUCCCUGGAGUCUCUGCCAAAGGAAACAUUAGACACGACUCUGUCUGGAUCCAGCUACUACAUCUAUGAUGCUGUGGAUGUGGUGGCCUGAGCCCUCCAUGAAAUACUUUUUAUAAAAGCAGAACAGGGGUCCAUAAUGGAUGCAGGCCAGCUCAUGUUUUUCCCU